ACUGGUUUCGACAUGAUAUGUCUGAGGGGAGAAGCAGGUCGAGGUCGCCUUACCUCGUUAAACAGGGGCAACGACGCUUACGCGCCGACAAUAAUUACGCACUCGCUGCCUAAAUAGUGCAGCGACGCCGACCCGAUGCGCGUCCCCGUCAUCGGCAAGGCGCCAUUACAGGGGACUGCCACGACAAACGCGGGCGGCAUGAUGUCGUGAAAGAUCGGACCGCCAUGGAACUAGCGCAGCGGGUCAUCGGGUAACGCUAGCUCCGAGACUCCACCGGUGACUGAGCCUGGAGAUGCUCCCCAGGGAUAUGUUGUGGACCGGAGUUCGAUCAAAUAGGGUCGCCCCGG
rnacentral:tmRNA from 1 species